AUUACUACAUGAGAACAUUACUAGUUUGCUAUUUCAUUCUUAUGUGCACCUUUUUAUCCUUUUUAAAUGAAAUUCUGGUUGCUUGGUGAAAGAAAAAAGGACCAUGAUGAAAGAGCUUAUCUCUUAUCUUCUGGAUCCUUGUUAAGCCAGUAUCAGAACUGUUUGUUGUAUUUUAAGUGUCCAUAUUACUGUAUGAGAACAUUACUGGGCUGCUAUUUCAUUCUUAUGUGCUCCUCUUUAUCGGUUAAAUGAAGUUCUGGUUGCUUGGUGAAAGAAAAAAGGACCAUGAUGAAAGAGCUUAUCUCUUAUCUUCUGGAUCCUUGUUAAGCCAGUAUCAGAACUGUUCGUUGUAUUUUAAGUGUCCAUAUUACUGUAUGAGAACAUUACUGGGUUGUUAUUUCAUUGUUAUGUGCUCCUCUUUAUCGGUUAAAUUACAUUCUGGUUACUUGUGAAAGAAACAAGGACCAUGAUGAAAAAGCUUCUCUCUUAACUUCUGGAUCCCUAAUAAUCUGGUAUAAGAAUCCCACUCCAAAAAUCAGUGUUUUUGUUUUGUCCAUUGUAUUAUAAAUGUCCAUAUUACUGCAUGAGAACAUUAUUGGGUUGCUAUUCAUUCUUAUGUGCUCCUCUUUAUCGGUUAAAUGAAGUUCUGUUUGCUUGGUGAAAGAAAAAAGGACCAUGAUGAAAGAGCUUAUCUCUUAUCUUCUGGAUCCUUGUUAAGCCAGUAUCAGAACUGUUCGUUGUAUUUUAAGUGUCCAUAUUACUGUAUGAGAACAUUACUGGGUUGUUAUUUCAUUGUUAUGUGCUCCUCUUUAUCGGUUAAAUUACAUUCUGGUUACUUGUGAAUGAAACAAGGACCAUGAUGAAAAAGCUUCUCUCUUAACUUCUGGAUCCCUAAUAAUCUGGUAUAAGACUCACACUCCAAAAAAAAAAAAAAAGUAAAUUCAGUGUUUUGUUUCGUCCAUUGUAUUAUAAAUGUCCACAUUACCGCAUGAGAACAUUAUUGGGUUGCUGUUUCAUUCUUAUGUGCUCCUCUUUAUCAGUUAAAUUAAGUUCUGUUUGC
ensembl:lncRNA